rnacentral:rRNA from 1 species
GAGGACCGAACCGACUAAUGUUGAAAAAUUAGCGGAUGACUUGUGGCUGGGGGUGAAAGGCCAAUCAAACCGGGAGAUAGCUGGUUCUCCCCGAAAGCUAUUUAGGUAGCGCCUCGUGAAUUCAUCUCCGGGGGUAGAGCACUGUUUCGGCAAGGGGGUCAUCCCGACUUACCAACCCGAUGCAAACUGCGAAUACCGGAGAAUGUUAUCACGGGAGACACACGGCGGGUGCUAACGUCCGUCGUGAAGAGGGAAACAACCCAGACCGCCAGCUAAGGUCCCAAAGUCAUGGUUAAGUGGGAAACGAUGUGGGAAGGCCCAGACAGCCAGGAUGUUGGCUUAGAAGCAGCCAUCAUUUAAAGAAAGCGUAAUAGCUCACUGGUCGAGUCGGCCUGCGCGGAAGAUGUAACGGGGCUAAACCAUGCACCGAAGCUGCGGCAGCGACGCUUAUGCGUUGUUGGGUAGGGGAGCGUUCUGUAAGCCUGUGAAGGUGUGCUGUGAGGCAUGCUGGAGGUAUCAGAAGUGCGAAUGCUGACAUAAGUAACGAUAAAGCGGGUGAAAAGCCCGCUCGCCGGAAGACCAAGGGUUCCUGUCCAACGUUAAUCGGGGCAGGGUGAGUCGACCCCUAAGGCGAGGCCGAAAGGCGUAGUCGAUGGGAAACAGGUUAAUAUUCCUGUACUUGGUGUUACUGCGAAGGGGGGACGGAGAAGGCUAUGUUGGCCGGGCGACGGUUGUCCCGGUUUAAGCGUGUAGGCUGGUUUUCCAGGCAAAUCCGGAAAAUCAAGGCUGAGGCGUGAUGACGAGGCACUACGGUGCUGAAGCAACAAAUGCCCUGCUUCCAGGAAAAGCCUCUAAGCAUCAGGUAACAUCAAAUCGUACCCCAAACCGACACAGGUGGUCAGGUAGAGAAUACCAAGGCGCUUGAGAGAACUCGGGUGAAGGAACUAGGCAAAAUGGUGCCGUAACUUCGGGAGAAGGCACGCUGAUAUGUAGGUGAAGUCCCUCGCGGAUGGAGCUGAAAUCAGUCGAAGAUACCAGCUGGCUGCAACUGUUUAUUAAAAACACAGCACUGUGCAAACACGAAAGUGGACGUAUACGGUGUGACGCCUGCCCGGUGCCGGAAGGUUAAUUGAUGGGGUUAGCGCAAGCGAAGCUCUUGAUCGAAGCCCCGGUAAACGGCGGCCGUAACUAUAACGGUCCUAAGGUAGCGAAAUUCCUUGUCGGGUAAGUUCCGACCUGCACGAAUGGCGUAAUGAUGGCCAGGCUGUCUCCACCC